rnacentral:rRNA from 1 species
GUGGAGCGACGAACCGGGGCUUGCCCCGGGGCAGAGCCGCGAACGGGUGAGUAACACGUGGGUUACCUACCCCAAUGACCGGGACAACCCGAGGAAACUCGGGCUAAUACCGGAUGUGGUCUUCGGACGAAAGGAAGCUUCGGCCUCCGCAUUGGGAUGGGCCCGCGGCGCAUUAGCUUGUUGGUGGGGUAACGGCCUACCAAGGCGACGAUGCGUAGCUGGUCUGAGAGGACGAUCAGCCACACUGGGACUGAGACACGGCCCAGACUCCUACGGGAGGCAGCAGUGGGGAAUCUUGCGCAAUGCGCGAAAGCGUGACGCAGCAACGCCGCGUGGGGGAAGAAGGCCUUCGGGUUGUAAACCUCUUUCAGUUGGGACGAAGCUUCGCGGGUUAAUAGCCUGCCGGAGUGACGGUACCUUCAGAAGAAGCCCCGGCUAACUACGUGCCAGCAGCCGCGGUAAUACGUAGGGGGCAAGCGUUGUCCGGAAUCAUUGGGCGUAAAGAGCGUGUAGGCGGCCCGAUAAGUCCGCUGUGAAAGUCCAGGGCUCAACCCUGGAAUGCCGGUGGAUACUGUCGGGCUCGAAUCCGGAAGAGGUGAGUGGAAUUCCUGGUGUAGCGGUGAAAUGCGCAGAUAUCAGGAGGAACACCAAUGGCGAAGGC